rnacentral:lncRNA from 1 species
GCGUCGGCGUCCAUGGUGGACGGACGCUGGAGGCCAGGCCGAGGGCGGCGUUGACGUCGGAAGGAGCGCACGUCAACGGCGAGCACGAUGGUGGCGGUGGAGGCAGCUGGCAGCGUCGGCAGGCGGCGGAAUCGCGCGACGUGUGGCAGCGGCUUUCGAAGGCCGUUCCGGCCGUUUCCGGCGGUGUUGGCGGCCGAGUCGAGUGGCGAUCGGCUCCUCUCGGCAAGGGCUCUCUUUUGGCAGCAGCGGCAACGCCUGUGGUGGCCGGAGACGGAAGAUCCGGUGGAGAGAGAAAGUAG